rnacentral:rRNA from 1 species
UACGAAGGGGGCUAGCGUUGCUCGGAUUGACUGGGCGUAAAGGGCGCGUAGGCGGUUCGUACAGUCAGACGUGAAAUUCCUGGGCUCAACCUGGGGGCUGCGUUUGAUACGUGCGGACUUGAGUGCGGAAGAGGGUCGUGGAAUUCCCAGUGUAGAGGUGAAAUUCGUAGAUAUUGGGAGGAACACCGGUGGCGAAGGCGGCUACCUGGACCGGUACUGACGCUGAGGCGCGAAAGCUAGGGUAGCAAACAGG